rnacentral:rRNA from 1 species
CCUACGGGAGGCAGCAGUGGGGAAUAUUGGGCAAUGGGCGCAAGCCUGACGCAGCAACGCCGCGUGAAGGAAGAAGGCUUUCGGGUUGUAAACUUCUUUUCUCAGGGACGAAGCAAGUGACGGUACCUGAGGAAUAAGCCACGGCUAACUCCGGGCCAGCAGCCGCGGAAAUACGUAGGUGGCAAGCGUUAUCCGGAUUUACUGGGUGUAAAGGGCGUGUAGGCGGGACGGCAAGUCAGAUGUGAAAACCACGGGCUCAACCUGUGGCCUGCAUUUGAAACUGUAGUGCUUGAGUACUGGAGAGGCAGACGGAAGUCCUAGUGUAGCGGUGAAAUGCGUAGAUAUUAGGAGGAACACCAGUGGCGAAGGCGGUCUGCUGGACAGCGACUGACGCUGAGGCGCGAAAGCGUGGGGAGCAAACAGGAUUAGAUACCCGAGUAGUC